ensembl:ncRNA W10C8.16 ncRNA
AGCAUGGUGCAUCGUGUUGACCUUUCGGACGGUACUGAUAAUGGUCGCGGAUCGGUGUUCCCCGGUUUGAUCUACCAGAAUUGCGGGAAUAGUCACAUAAAACUUAAAUUUCCCGCAAUUCUCGGAGAUCAAACCGCAAA